rnacentral:rRNA from 1 species
AGACUCCUACGGGAGGCAGCAGUGGGGAAUUUUGCGCAAUGGGGGAAACCCUGACGCAGCAACGCCGCGUGAGUGAUGAAGGCCUUCGGGUCGUAAAGCUCUUUUAGUGGGGAAGAAACAUCCAUGGACUAAUAAUCCAUGGACUUGACGGUACCCACAGAAAAAGUUCCGGCUAACUACGUGCCAGCAGCCGCGGUAAUACGUAGGGAGCAAGCGUUGUUCGGAAUUAUUGGGCGUAAAGAGCGCGUAGGCGGCUUGGCAAGUCUGGUGUGAAAUCUCACAGCUUAACUGUGAAACUGCAUCAGAAACUGCUUGGCUAGAGUGUGGGAGAGGAGAGUGGAAUUCCCAGUGUAGAGGUGAAAUUCGUAGAUACUGGGAGGAACACCGGUGGCGAAGGCGGCUCUCUGGACCACAACUGACGCUGAGGCGCGAAAGCUAGGGGAGCAAACGGGAUUAGAUACCCCGGUAGUCCUAGCCGUAAACGAUGGGCACUAGUGUGGGGGGAAUUGACCCCUUCCGUGCCGCAGCUAACGCAUUAAGUGCCCGCCUGGGGAGUACGGUCGCAAGACUAAAACUCAAGGAAUUGACGGGGCCCGCACAAGCGU